rnacentral:rRNA from 1 species
AAUACCGGAUAUUAUGAGAUUCUCGCAUGAGAAACUUAUGAAAGCUAUAUGCGCCAAGAGAGAGCCUUGCGUUCCAUUAGCUAGUUGGUGGGGUAACGGCCCACCAAGGCGACGAUGGAUAGCCGGCCUGAGAGGGUGAACGGCCACAAGGGGACUGAGACACGGCCCUUACUCCUACGGGAGGCAGCAGUGGGGAAUAUUGGACAAUGGGCCACAAGCCUGAUCCAGCAAUUCUGUGUGCACGAUGAAGGUCUUCGGAUUGUAAAGUGCUUUCAGUUGGGAAGAAGAAAGUGACGGUACCAACAGAAGAAGCGACGGCUAAAUACGUGCCAGCAGCCGCGGUAAUACGUAUGUCGCAAGCGUUAUCCGGAUUUAUUGGGCGUAAAGCGCGUCUAGGCGGAAAAAUAAGUCUGAUGUUAAAAUGCGGGGCUCAACUCCGUAUUGCGUUGGAAACUGUUUUUCUAGAGUACUGGAGAGGUGGGCGGAACUACAAGUGUAGAGGUGAAAUUCGUAGAUAUUUGUAGGAAUGCCGAUGGAGAAGUCAGCUCACUGGACAGAUACUGACGCUGAA